rnacentral:rRNA from 1 species
AGCAGCCGCGGUAAUUCCAGCUCCAAUAGCGUAUAUUAAAGUUGUUGCAGUUAAAAAGCUCGUAGUUGAAUUUCGGGGUUAGUAGGUUGGUCGUGCCACUGGUAUGUACUGGCUUCACUGAUUCCUCCCUCUUGUAGAACCGUAAUGCCAUUAAGUUGGUGUUGCGGGGAAACAGGACUGUUACUUUGAAAAAAUUAGAGUGUUUAAAGCAGGCUAACGCUUGAAUACAUUAGCAUGGAAUAAUGAAAUAGGACGAUCGAUCCUAUUUUGUUGGUUUCUAGGAUUGACGUAAUGAUUAAUAGGGAUAGUUGGGGGCAUUAGUAUUCAAUUGUCAGAGGUGAAAUUCUUGGAUUUAUUGAAGACUAACUACUGCGAAAGCAUUUGCCAAGGAUGUUUUCAUUAAUCAAGAACGAAAGUUAGGGGAUCGAAGACGAUCAGAUACCGUCGUAGUCUUAACCAUAAACUAUGCCGACUAGGGAUCGGAUGAUGUUAAUUUUUAAUGACUCAUUCGGCGCCUUAC